rnacentral:SRP_RNA from 1 species
GGGCAGGCUAUGCCGGGAGGUCAGCCCUCUCCUGUAACUGCAAACGGGCUUUAUGGCGGGGUGAAGCUGGCAAGCGGUUCAGGCUGCAGCCGGAGGUCUUGGCUCGUACGUUGACCUUCUGUCCUUCAGGGUUGUUGCGUUUGAAAACCACGUCAGGCUGGGAACAGAGCAGCGUUAAUCAUUUGCAAUGGCGCUUGAGGGGGUGCGGAAGCGAGGAAAAGCUAAGGUGAACUUUCAGCUAACGUUUGUCCCAAUCGCUGGCGUGCCUGCCU